rnacentral:rRNA from 1 species
GUUAAGCGACUAAGCGUACACGGUGGAUGCCCUGGCAGUCAGAGGCGAUGAAGGACGUGCUAAUCUGCGAUAAGCGUCGGUAAGGUGAUAUGAACCGUUAUAACCGGCGAUUUCCGAAUGGGGAAACCCAGUGUGUUUCGACACACUAUCAUUAACUGAAUCCAUAGGUUAAUGAGGCGAACCGGGGGAACUGAAACAUCUAAGUACCCCGAGGAAAAGAAAUCAACCGAGAUUCCCCCAGUAGCGGCGAGCGAACGGGGAGCAGCCCAGAGCCUGAAUCAGUGUGUGUGUUAGUGGAAGCGUCUGGAAAGGCGCGCGAUACAGGGUGACAGCCCCGUACACAAAAAUGCACAUGCUGUGAGCUCGAUGAGUAGGGCGGGACACGUGGUAUCCUGUCUGAAUAUGGGGGGACCAUCCUCCAAGGCUAAAUACUCCUGACUGACCGAUAGUGAACCAGUACCGUGAGGGAAAGGCGAAAAGAACCCCGGCGAGGGGAGUGAAAAAGAACCUGAAACCGUGUACGUACAAGCAGUGGGAGCACGCUUAGGCGUGUGACUGCGUACCUUUUGUAUAAUGGGUCAGCGACUUAUAUUCUGUAGCAAGGUUAACCGAAUAGGGGAGCCGAAGGGAAACCGAGUCUUAACUGGGCGUUAAGUUGCAGGGUAUAGACCCGAAACCCGGUGAUCUAGCCAUGGGCAGGUUGAAGGUUGGGUAACACUAACUGGAGGACCGAACCGACUAAUGUUGAAAAAUUAGCGGAUGACUUGUGGCUGGGGGUGAAAGGCCAAUCAAACCGGGAGAUAGCUGGUUCUCCCCGAAAGCUAUUUAGGUAGCGCCUCGUGAAUUCAUCUCCGGGGGUAGAGCACUGUUUCGGCAAGGGGGUCAUCCCGACUUACCAACCCGAUGCAAACUGCGAAUACCGGAGAAUGUUAUCACGGGAGACACACGGCGGGUGCUAACGUCCGUCGUGAAGAGGGAAACAACCCAGACCGCCAGCUAAGGUCCCAAAGUCAUGGUUAAGUGGGAAACGAUGUGGGAAGGCCCAGACAGCCAGGAUGUUGGCUUAGAAGCAGCCAUCAUUUAAAGAAAGCGUAAUAGCUCACUGGUCGAGUCGGCCUGCGCGGAAGAUGUAACGGGGCUAAACCAUGCACCGAAGCUGCGGCAGCGACACUAUGUGUUGUUGGGUAGGGGAGCGUUCUGUAAGCCUGUGAAGGUGUACUGUGAGGUAUGCUGGAGGUAUCAGAAGUGCGAAUGCUGACAUAAGUAACGAUAAAGCGGGUGAAAAGCCCGCUCGCCGGAAGACCAAGGGUUCCUGUCCAACGUUAAUCGGGGCAGGGUGAGUCGACCCCUAAGGCGAGGCCGAAAGGCGUAGUCGAUGGGAAACAGGUUAAUAUUCCUGUACUUGGUGUUACUGCGAAGGGGGGACGGAGAAGGCUAUGUUGGCCGGGCGACGGUUGUCCCGGUUUAAGCGUGUAGGCUGGUUUUCCAGGCAAAUCCGGAAAAUCAAGGCUGAGGCGUGAUGACGAGGCACUACGGUGCUGAAGCAACAAAUGCCCUGCUUCCAGGAAAAGCCUCUAAGCAUCAGGUAACAUCAAAUCGUACCCCAAACCGACACAGGUGGUCAGGUAGAGAAUACCAAGGCGCUUGAGAGAACUCGGGUGAAGGAACUAGGCAAAAUGGUGCCGUAACUUCGGGAGAAGGCACGC